UCGGAGUGCAGCGGGGUUAGGAUGGACGAGGACGUGUUGCACCCUGAAGAGCCUCAUCAUCGGUGAGAGUGGGGUGGGCAAGUCCAGCCUGCUCUUGAGGUUCACAGAUGAUACCUUUGAUCCAGAACUUGCAGCAACAAUAGACAAUGCAGGAAUCACAUGAACCUGUCCAUCCACAGAUAAAGUGGUAAAGAAACUGCCGUAUUAGAUACAUGAUGGUAUACUCUUCAGCCAUAAAGCUUCGGGAAACCCUGUCAUCCGCAACCACGUGGAGAAACCUGUCCAUCCACAGAUGAAGGGAUCAGGAAGCUCUGGUAUAUAUACUGAAGGGAAAUGCUUUUUGGCUACCAAAAUAAUGAAAUUUUGUUGUUUGGAGCAACACAGAUGAACCUGUCCAUCCA
rnacentral:lncRNA from 10 species